AGCCAUGCCGCGUGAGUGAAGAAGGCCUUCGGGUUGUAAAGCUCUUUCGCUAGGAAAGAAAACUUACAUAUUAAUACUAUGUGAGUAUGACGGUACCUUGAUAAGAAGCACCGGCUAACUACGUGCCAGC
rnacentral:rRNA from 1 species